AUUGAACGCUGGCGGCAUGCCUAACACAUGCAAGUCGAGCGGAGCGGGGGACGGGUGAGUAAUGCCUAGUGAUCUGCCCGGUAGUGGGGGAUCACGUCCGGAAGGGGGCGCUAAUACCGCAUGCUAUCAGAUCAGCCUAGGUCGGAUUAGCUUGUUGGUGGGGUAGAGGCCUACCAAGGCGACGAUCCGUAACUGGUCUGAGAGGAUGAUCAGUCACACUGGAACUGAGACACGGUCCAGACUCCUACGGGAGGCAGCAGUGGGGAAUAUUGGACAAUGGGCGAAAGCCUGAUCCAGCCAUGCCGCGUGUGUGAAGAAGGUCUUCGGAUUGUAAAGCACUUUAAGUUGGGAGGCGUUACCAACAGAAUAAGCACCGGCUAACUUCGUGCCAGCAGCCGCGGUAAUAC
rnacentral:rRNA from 1 species